GGGGAUGUAGCUCAGCCGGGAGAGCGCCUGCUUUGCAAGCAGGAGGUCACGGGUUCAAGUCCCGUCAUCUCCACCA
rnacentral:tRNA from 1 species